GGCUACCGCCUCCUGGGGGCAGGCGGCCCCAACUUCCCACUGCCUUUUAUACCAUUUCUGAACGACCCCAGAAACAGGCAUCAAUCAUACCGGGCACAGCUGUUCUCAACGUUCUCAAGCGACUGGGCGACUAUUAACGGAUGAGACUGAUGCUCAAGUGUACAUGGCCAUGGAAUUCAACAGCGGAGCAGCUACCGUGCCUGGGGAUUCUUCUGGGGGCCUACUGGAAGUUCGAGGGCUGCACCGAAUUUUGGAUUUUGGGCAAAACUCAGUGAGGACUCAUGGCUGAAUGUCACAACCUCAGAAAGGAGGGGAGAACUGGCCACCUCAUUGCAAGAAAGUCUACACGAUAAGUCUGCUUCUUGACUGGACGAAUAACUGGCUGGACUCCAGAUGCACUAGCUUGCUGUACAAAGGAUGGAUUCCAGGUUCCCACUUCUACCACCACAACAAUGAAAAAGCUUAACAUGCACUGUUCAGGAAGAACAAAAAAACCAAACCAGCCCUCUUUCCUGCCCCAACAAAGUCCAAAACACAGACAACUCCUCUUCCCCACCUUCCAGGCACAGGUGUCACAGCAGUUGCAGAUGUGACAAAUACUGGAUACCUGCCUGUU